rfam:Oryza glumipatula chromosome 1, whole genome shotgun sequence.
UUAAAGUGUGUUGGGGGAUUUUUUUUUCAACAUUUAACCGUCCGUGUUAUUUGAAAUUUUUUUAUGAUUAAUAUUCUAUUGUUAUUAGAUGAUAAAAUAUGAAUAGUAUUUUAUGCGUGAUUAUUUUUAAAACCUUUUCAUAAUUUUUUAAAAAAGAUGGACUGUUAAACGUUGGAUACAGAAAUCAACAGCUAAAUUUAAA